rnacentral:rRNA from 1 species
AUUGAACGCUGGCGGAAUGCUUUACACAUGCAAGUCGAACGGCAGCACGGACUUCGGUCUGGUGGCGAGUGGCGAACGGGUGAGUAAUGUAUCGGAACGUGCCCAGUCGUGGGGGAUAACGUAGUGAAAAUUACGCUAAUACCGCAUACGAUCUAUGGAUGAAAGCGGGGGAUCGCAAGACCUCGCGCGAUUGGAGCGGCCGAUAUCAGAUUAGGUAGUUGGUGGGGUAAAGGCCCACCAAGCCAACGAUCUGUAGCUGGUCUGAGAGGACGACCAGCCACACUGGAACUGAGACACGGGCCAGACUCCUACGGGAGGCAGCAGUGGGGAAUUUUGGACAAUGGGCGAAAGCCUGAUCCAGCCAUUCCGCGUGCAGGAUGAAGGCCCUCGGGUUGUAAACUGCUUUUGUACAGAACGAAACGGCUCUGGUUAAUACCUGGGGCUAAUGACGGUACCGUAAGAAUAAGCACCGGCUAACUACGUGCCAGCCGCCGCCGUAA